GGGUGCGAUCAUACCAGCACUAAUGCACCGGAUUCCAUCAGAACUCCGCAGUUAAGCGUGCUUGGGCGAGAGUCGUACUAGGAUGGGUGACCUCCUGGGAAGUCCUCGUGUUGCACCCCUUU
rnacentral:rRNA from 1 species